GAGGGUAUAGCUCAGGUGGCAGAGUGCAUGCUUACCAUGCACAAGGUGCUGGGUUCAAUCCCCAGUACCUCCU
rnacentral:tRNA from 1 species